CCCUUAGACGCUCUAGGCGGCACGCGCGCUACAAUGGGUGGUAGAACGUGUAACUGCUCCCGAAAGGGAGGGUGAACCACGAAUACUUACCCGUGAAUGGGAUAGUUUGUUGCAAUUUUCGGACUUGAACUAGGAAUCCCUUGUAAGAAUGCUCAAGAAUAGCGUGCUGAAUACGUCCCUGCCGUUUGUAUACACCGCCCGUCGUUUCUUCCGACUGAUACUCAUUGUGAGUUGCAAGGAUUCUUAUUGAAAAAUUGCUGCGAAUGCUUUGUAUUGGAGGAAGAAAAAGUCGUAACA
rnacentral:rRNA from 1 species